rnacentral:lncRNA from 1 species
UGAGGAGUCACUGAUAAGAUAUGAGAUUUUGGAAAUUGCUUGGAAAAUCUACUGGGAUGGGCCUCCUCUUUUUAUUGUAUCAUGUAACGGAUGCACUGUUUCCUUUUCAUUUCUUAUUACUCUGGAGAGAAUACAGUUGGAUUGCAGCUGCCGCAAAACAGGCUGAAAACUGUACUAAGACAUCAACUUCUAAAGACAGAGGAGUGUGCUCGGAAGUACCUGUUUGCGGCCCACGGACCUGGUGGUACAGAUGCCUGAAAGGGCUGCGCGG